GACGAACGCUGGCGGCGUGCUUAACACAUGCGAGUCGAACGGAAAGGCCCUGCUUUUGUGGGGUGCUCGAGUGGCGAACGGGUGAGUAACACGUGAGUAACCUGCCCUUGACUUUGGGAUAACUUCAGGAAACUGGGGCUAAUACCGGAUAGGAGCUCCUGCUGCAUGGUGGGGGUUGGAAAGUUUCGGCGGUUGGGGAUGGACUCGCGGCUUAUCAGCUUGUUGGUGGGGUAGUGGCUUACCAAGGCUUUGACGGGUAGCCGGCCUGAGAGGGUGACCGGCCACAUUGGAACUGAGAUACGGCCCAGACUCCUACGGGAGGCAGCAGUGGGGAAUAUUGCACAAUGGGCGGAAGCCUGAUGCAGCAACGCCGCGUGCGGGAUGACGGCCUUCGGGUUGUAAACCGCUUUCGCCUGUGACGAAGCGUGAGUGACGGUAAUGGGUAAAGAAGCACCGGCUAACUACGUG
rnacentral:rRNA from 1 species